rnacentral:rRNA from 1 species
UACGGGGGGGGCAAGCGUUGUUCGGAAUUACUGGGCGUAAAGGGCUUGUAGGUGGCCAACUAAGUCAGACGUGAAAUCCCUCGGCUUAACCGGGGAACUGCGUCUGAUACUGGAUGGCUUGAGUGUGGGAGAGGGAUGCGGAAUUCCAGGUGUAGCGGUGAAAUGCGUAGAUAUCUGGAGGAACACCGGUGGCGAAGGCGGCAUCCCGGACCGGUAUUGACGCUGAGGCGCGAAAGCCAGGGGAGCAAACGGG